GCUCCCCAGUGAUAAGAAGGGAAGUUAGCUGUUUUGCACUGGGAAUUAAUUCAAAUUAACAAAAAUAAGCUAACAUAUUUCUCCCAAAGAACAAAAUACAUCGGAUUGGUUGGAAGUUAAUUUGCCUUACAAAAUUCAACAUUCCUCGAAGGCGUUCUAACAGGAUUAAGAGGAUUAGUCUAGCCUCUGCGCAUGCUUGUUCUAUACAAGGAAAAGCUCACCUUGAGCCCACUAUCAAUCCAAGAAAUACACACGAGACUUUCCCCUUCACCGACAUCUGCCUCUGCCACCUGGUACCAAUCAUUUAGAAGGUAAUCCUAAAAUAAACCAACAUCCAUAAGUAUACAGCUGUCGACAAAACGUUUCUGCAGACAGACACGCGACAUAGGACAAGCCCAGGUGAGCUUAGCAACAUUAGAACAUGUAGCUUUCAGUCAUUUAUAGGGCACAUUUAUGAUGGUGCUUGAAUCUGAGAUAAACUCAAAAUGUACAUUUAAUAAUCUACAAUCAUUUCAUUUCAUAUGCAUUAUACUGGUGAGCUGUGCUAGAGGGUGCUUAAAUGCACAGUCAACACACACUAUUAUGGACACCCCAUUUAAGUUUUAGUAAAAGUGGGUCUGUAAUAGUGGGGCACUAAAAAAUGCUGAUAAUCUGUGGCAAAUGGUUUAUAUUAAUUAUUAACACAACACUAAAAGUAUUAUAGGCUCCCAUAGCCUUGAUAGUCUCAAAAUAAAAGCACAUUGUGCAUUUCACAAUUUAAACUACAGUCAGGUUGACAUAAAGUACAAAAAUGUGACUGUCCAUGUACUGCAUACUGAGUGUGUACUGCAAAAGUUAGUGUGCAGUAGCUGCUAGAGAAUGUUAUCACAUCUUAAAAUAUUCAAAAA